rnacentral:rRNA from 1 species
UUUUCAUCAGACAAUCUGUGUGAGCACUGCAAAGUACGCUUCUUUAAGGUAAGGAGGUGAUCCAACCGCAGGUUCCCCUACGGUUACCUUGUUACGACUUCACCCCAGUCAUGAAUCACAAAGUGGUAAGCGCCCUCCCGAAGGUUAAGCUACCUACUUCUUUUGCAACCCACUCCCAUGGUGUGACGGGCGGUGUGUACAAGGCCCGGGAACGUAUUCACCGUGGCAUUCUGAUCCACGAUUACUAGCGAUUCCGACUUCAUGGAGUCGAGUUGCAGACUCCAAUCCGGACUACGACGCACUUUAUGAGGUCCGCUUGCUCUCGCGAGGUCGCUUCUCUUUGUAUGCGCCAUUGUAGCACGUGUGUAGCCCUGGUCGUAAGGGCCAUGAUGACUUGACGUCAUCCCCACCUUCCUCCAGUUUAUCACUGGCAGUCUCCUUUGAGUUCCCGGCCGGACCGCUGGCAACAAAGGAUAAGGGUUGCGCUCGUUGCGGGACUUAACCCAACAUUUCACAACACGAGCUGACGACAGCCAUGCAGCACCUGUCUCACGGUUCCCGAAGGCACAUUCUCAUCUCUGAAAACUUCCGUGGAUGUCAAGACCAGGUAAGGUUCUUCGCGUUGCAUCGAAUUAAACCACAUGCUCCACCGCUUGUGCGGGCCCCCGUCAAUUCAUUUGAGUUUUAACCUUGCGGCCGUACUCCCCAGGCGGUCUACUUAACGCGUUAGCUCCGGAAGCCACGCCUCAAGGGCACAACCUCCAAGUAGACAUCGUUUACGGCGUGGACUACCAGGGUAUCUAAUCCUGUUUGCUCCCCACGCUUUCGCACCUGAGCGUCAGUCUUUGUCCAGGGGGCCGCCUUCGCCACCGGUAUUCCUCCAGAUCUCUACGCAUUUCACCGCUACACCUGGAAUUCUACCCCCCUCUACAAGACUCAAGCCUGCCAGUUUCGAAUGCAGUUCCCAGGUUGAGCCCGGGGAUUUCACAUCCGACUUGACAGACCGCCUGCGUGCGCUUUACGCCCAGUAAUUCCGAUUAACGCUUGCACCCUCCGUAUUACCGCGGCUGCUGGCACGGAGUUAGCCGGUGCUUCUUCUGCGGGUAACGUCAAUUGCUGCGGUUAUUAACCACAACACCUUCCUCCCCGCUGAAAGUACUUUACAACCCGAAGGCCUUCUUCAUACACGCGGCAUGGCUGCAUCAGGCUUGCGCCCAUUGUGCAAUAUUCCCCACUGCUGCCUCCCGUAGGAGUCUGGACCGUGUCUCAGUUCCAGUGUGGCUGGUCAUCCUCUCAGACCAGCUAGGGAUCGUCGCCNNNNNNNNNNNNNNNNNNNNCACAUCUGAUGGCAAGAGGCCCGAAGGUCCCCCUCUUUGGUCUUGCGACGUUAUGCGGUAUUAGCCACCGUUUCCAGUAGUUAUCCCCCUCCAUCAGGCAGUUUCCCAGACAUUACUCACCCGUCCGCCACUCGUCAGCAAAGCAGCAAGCUGCUUCCUGUUACCGUUCGACUUGCAUGUGUUAGGCCUGCCGCCAGCGUUCAAUCUGAGCCAUGAUCAAACUCUUCAAUUUAAAAGUUUGAUGCUCAAUGAAUUAAACUUCGUAAUGAAUUACGUGUUCACUCUUGAGACUUGGUAUUCAUUUUUCGU